CAAAUUCAAUAAUACAACAGUUCUGUGAUGUAAAUAAUUAUAAGUGUUAAAUGUGUAACAUUCACAGACUCGAUUUCUAAUCAUCUAAGGCAUGGUGUGAAGAGCCGUGGGUUGGCAGUCGUGGCUUUUGGCGGUUAAGGCUCUGGGUUAUUGCUCGGAAGGUCGGAGGUUCAAGCCCCAGCACUGCUAAGGUGCCACUGUUGAGCCCUCGAGCAAGGCCCUUAACCCUCUCUGCUCCAGGGACACUGUAUCAUGGCUGACCCUGCGCUCUGGCCCCAACCUCCUGACAUGCUGGGAGAUUUCCCAGUAGGCGAUCACUCUGUGAUGUCUUGAAGCCUGGUACACAGCACCCAACCACUGCGAAACCAUAUGGAACUCAUCUCAUGCUGUCGAUGGAACUCAUCUCAUGCAUCUCAUGCACACUGAAAGUGGUGUGAUUGCUCCAUCCAGAUUAUUUUACCAACAGUUUUACCAUUCAUAUUUGGUAAUCCAGAAAUGCAUUCUGUAUGUGCUAAAGCUUUACAACUGGAGUUUUUAGGUGUGUGUACGUGUGUAAUUAGAGUGUGGCAGCCGGUGGAACAGCAGGCAACCUGCACAUGAAAAGCUGUGGCACACCUUUCUCAAUCAGGUCAGUCCCUAACCAAGCCCUACUGAAACACAGGGAUGUCAGUGUAAGCUCUGCUUUCAGAUCCAUGUAGUGCACUGAGCACACAUUCCAUCUGGCAGUAAUACAUUUGUUUGAUGCUUCCUUAACUUGGUGGGUCUUAUAAAUAUUGCGGGAGAAUGUAUUACCUACACCUACUUCAGCUCUAUUUGUUAUAUUUGUAUUACGUACAAUAACUAAUGCUAUAUUAAAAUAUUUUAUAUUUUGGGGCUAAUUUUAAGCCUUUGGGUAAUACGAGAGUAUACUUCACUUUGCUGCCAGCUUAAUAGGUAAACCGACCUGUCACAGUCUCUCCCUUUGUGUUGCCAUUUCUGUUUUGGUUUUCUGUUCUGUCUCUGUCACAAUCCUGUCAUUGGUCUGUUACCCAAUUGUGGUUACCUGUUCUGUGUUUGGUUCUGGAUUAGUGUGCCUUCUUUUAUCUUCUGUGUGUCAUUGACUGUGUAUACAUGCACAUCAAUAGGCAGUAUUCUAAUAGUAUUGAGUCUUGUAAGUGCCACAGUCCGAUUGACCGAUUCUGAUUGAGACAAUAUUCUGAUUCCCACCCCUGGAAUAUGCCUGUUUUAAUCGCAAAUUUGUUGCAUGUAAACACCUUAUUCAGAAAAUCCACUGAAAGGAGAUAUAUGCGCAUGCUCAGUCCACAAGGAAUUGUGGGUGCUAACAGAUGCUUAGCUGUAGGCUAGAUAUUUAGGAAUAGUAACUCAGGCAUACAUACAACAACCAUGUAUACAGAAAUAUUGCUGCAACCCGAAUAUAGACCUUAAAUGGAAUUUGACGUGCAUGUAAAUGUAGUCAGUGUUUGUUGUGAAGUGUUGCUGAUAGUACUGUGCAAAUUGCCUUGUUUUCCAAAUUUUAUGUCAUUGUACAUCCUGGUUUUGACCUAUUUUCUGUUUUGACAUUGAUUAUUGAUUAUCCAUAGUUAACUCUGCUUAACUGUAUUUUGACCCUUGCUAUGGACUCAUGGACUAUGGAUUGUGAUUCAUGGAUUCAUGGACUCAUGGAGGUGUCCUGCCUCUCACAGCACAUUGUCAGCUUCCUCCACCCCAUCCAUCAAUGGAAAGAGACAAUCACAGGACCACCACUGAUCAGAUAUUGAAAAUGCUGCUCAGAAUUGUGUUAUCUUGGCAAUUUUUUCCCCCUCCUGUUUGGCAAUCAAAGAACCUGGAAAGAAAAAUAUCUACGAGCUAUGUGGAUUGUAUUUUACAAUUGCAGCACAAUGCCAAAAUGGUUUUGUAGUACCUAGAAAAAACACCUUGCUUUCUAGGCACUAAUCGCCUUUUCUAUUACUUAUGCACUUAGGUUUAAAACCGUCCUUUCAAUACUGAUUACCUUUUGUAUUAUGCACUUAAGUUUGAAAUUGUCUUUUGAUAACAGCUAGACCACUCUAACACUUGCACAAAUAAUCAUUUGUCUUUUGUUCUUCAAGUUUGCUUUGUCUUUGCAGGUUUGCUAGAUCAUUUGUAUCACUACGCCUUCAACUGCUUGUAUAUUUUGUAAGUUGCUCUGGAUAAAAGUAGCUGCUAAAGUACUCAAUUUUAACAAUGACAGCAAUUAGGUACUCAUUGUUUGGAUGUCCUUCCUUUCUUCAAGCUCUCCAUUCAUCUAGAC
ensembl:lncRNA